UGGGAGAUUUUCACACACAUGAUCAAUCUUGAACAAGUUUUGAAGAUUAAAUCAAGAUUUUGAGUGUUCUUGAAGUAUCAAGUCUAGUAAUCAAGGGGUAUAAUUGAAGGUUUUAGAGGCCUGAGGAUGGUGUAAUUUCAUCAGAAUUCAGAAUUCUAUCGCAACAUUCGGUUACAGCACAGUGAUAUUCAUCCAAUAUAGUUAUGUACUGUUAGAAGAUGUAGAAUAUAUAAUAUUAUAACUUUUGUAUUUAGUGUAUAAAUUCCUGGGAAAUUAUGUAAUAUACUAAAACUUAGUCUGUUUGUAUCCAGUCUUUUGUAAUUAAACUAUCAAUGUAAAAUAUUGUUUAUGAA